AGAGUUUGAUCAUGGCUCAGAUUGAACACUGGCGGCAGGCUUAACACAUGCAAGUCGAGCGGAGAUAAGGUGCUUGCACCUUAUCUUAGCGGCGGACGGGUGAGUAAUGCUUAGGAAUCUGCCUAUUAGUGGGGGACAACAUUCCGAAAGGAAUGCUAAUACCGCAUACGUCCUACGGGAGAAAGCAGGGGAUCUUCGGACCUUGCGCUAAUAGAUGAGCCUAAGUCGGAUUAGCUAGUUGGUGGGGUAAAGGCCUACCAAGGCGACGAUCUGUAGCGGGUCUGAGAGGAUGAUCCGCCACACUGGGACUGAGACACGGCCCAGACUCCUACGGGAGGCAGCAGUGGGGAAUAUUGGACAAUGGGGGGAACCCUGAUCCAGCCAUGCCGCGUGUGUGAAGAAGGCCUUAUGGUUGUAAAGCACUUUAAGCGAGGAGGAGGCUACUGAGACUAAUACUCUUGGAUAGUGGACGUUACUCGCAGAAUAAGCACCGGCUAACUCUGUGCCAGCAGCCGCGGUAAUACAGAGGGUGCGAGCGUUAAUCGGAUUUACUGGGCGUAAAGCGUGCGUAGGCGGCUUUUUAAGUCGGAUGUGAAAUCCCCGAGCUUAACUUGGGAAUUGCAUUCGAUACUGGGAAGCUAGAGUAUGGGAGAGGAUGGUAGAAUUCCAGGUGUAGCGGUGAAAUGCGUAGAGAUCUGGAGGAAUACCGAU
rnacentral:rRNA from 2 species